UCUCGUGUAUGCUGGAAGAGAAAAAGAGAGAUGGUUUCCAAAGGUGAACCUGGAAACAAACCAAAACCAGAAAGUUUAGAGGGAUGCUGUCAUUAAAACCAGCCUGCUCUGAUAUUUUUGCCAAAAGCACUUAAUUUUCUGUGAUUUUCUAUCUAUGGGAUUCCAGCUGCCAGCAGCCUGAAGGAAGGAGACCAUGGACUGGUGUAGCAUGAAUGUGAGUUUCCCGACUCCACCAGGCAGUAAAACCUCAGCAGAUCCGUACCAAGACUUUAAAAACACCCCGCUGACUUUUAUAGGAUGUCAGUAUCCAGGAAAUACUUCCCACUAAAUACAUUAAAGCCACAGACAAAUGCUUCCAU